GCCGAAGCUGACGAUGGUGGUCUCGCGGUGCGCGCACACGGGGAACCAGAUGGUGGCCACGAUGGCGCAGAGAGCUGCGGAGACAAGAGCAGGUGACCGCGCGGCCCCGCGCGCCCCCGGGCGGCGGCCGCUCGCUCUGAGCUCCUGGCAGCCGAGUGCCCUGUCUGUGUGUUUAACGUGCCCUGACUGAAUGACUGGGUGACCUGAGCAACUCACAGCUUCAGUGAGCCCUCUGUGAACUGCCUGAGAAAUCUCAGGGGUACAGAUUGUGGGAUCUAUCCCCCAUGGACUCACUCAGCCUCCUUUCAUAUUGUCUCGAACUCAAUGAAGCAUUCACCACCCAUGAAAUUUGAGAGUCAUUAGUUCACUCAGGCGGGGGC